rnacentral:rRNA from 1 species
AAGCUGGGGAAACUGUUGUACAGCCUGCAAAGGCUGAAACUGCUGGAUAGGAGCUGGCUGUGUAGCCUGAAGCUGGGGCUGCAGCUGAAGGGGCUGCUGAGGCGGAAGCUGCG